rnacentral:rRNA from 1 species
CCCGGCCGACAAGACGGAGGAGCAUGUGGUUUAAUUUCGAUGAUACGCGAGGAACCUUACCUGGGCUCGAACGUAAGAUGACUGUAGGUGAAAGCUUACAUCUCUUCGGAGCAUUUUACGAGGUGCUGCAUGGUUGUCGUCAGCUCGUGCCGUGAGGUGUCGGGUUAAGUCCCAUAACGAGCGCAACCCCUACCUUUAGUUGCCAUCAGGUUAAGCUGGGGACUCUAAAGGAACUGCCUACGCAAGUAGUGAGGAAGCGGGGAUGACGUCAAAUCAGCACGGCCCUUACGUCCAGGGCUACACACGUGCUACAAUGGCCGAUACAGAGGGCAGCUACCUGGUGACAGGAUGCAAAUCUCCAAAGUCGGUCUCAGUUCGGAUCGGAGUCUGCAACCCGACUCCGUGAAGUUGGAUUCGCUAGUAAUCGCGCAUCAGCCAUGGCGCGGUGAAUACGUUCCCGGGCCUU